UAAUGUUCAUUGGUGAUUCAAUACAUUACAAUCAGUGGCAAUCCAUGGUUUGUAUGGUUCAAUCCGUGAUUCCCUCAGGCAAAAAGACCUUAAAACACACAGCACAAAUGUCCAUCUUCAACAUAGAGGUAUUAAAGACUAUCUUCUAUGCAAAAAGACAAUAAUCCAAGAAGCAAAAGAACUCCAAAUCUUACCUUCUCUACUAUUCUGAAUGUGUAGGAGUACAAUGCAACCAUAUCAUUUUACUGGGCACCUUUCCUAGUCGAAUCAAAUGCUGAUCCUCCAGACAAGAGAGACGGGAAGACCGAUCCAGUAAUCAUUCCUAAUUCAAUCUCGAAACACGGCGAGAACUGGAAAGACGCAGACUACCUCAUAUUCAACACCUACAUAUGGUGGACUAGACAUUCCACGAUCAAAGUUCUGUAAGUGAUAAACGAUCUCUCUACCAAGUUCCAAACUUUCAAAUUUGCCAAUCUUGAUGAAGUUUUCUACUUUGAUGCAUGAAGAAAACAAGAAUCUUUCAACAAAGGAGACUCAAAAGAGUACAAUGAAAUCGGAAUCUAUAUAGUAUACAAACAAGUGUUAUCAACAUGGACAAAAUGGCUAGAACAAAACAUCAACCCAAGUCAAACAUCUAUCUUCUUCAGCAGCAUGUCACCAACUCAUAUCAGGUACUAAAUCAUCAAACACCCAUAAAAAUCAAAACUUUACAGAGACUGAUCCUUUUCAGUUGCAAACAGAAGUUCAGAUUGGGGAUUCAAUGAAGGAAGCAAAUGUGAAAAAGAGACAGAACCAAUACUAAACAUGUCAAAACCAAUAAAUGUUGGAACAAAUCGAAGACUUUACGAAAUCGCACUGAAUGCGACCAAAUCUACAAAAGUGCCGAUUCAUUUCCUCAACAUAACGACUAUGUCAGAGUAUAGAAAAGAUGGGCAUACCUCAUUUUACGGUUCGAUAAAUGGGAAACUCAUGACGCCGGAGCAGAAGUUAGAUCCGAGAACUUUUGCUGAUUGUUAUCAUUGGUGUCUUCCGGGAUUGCCUGAUUCAUGGAACGAGUUGCUCU
rnacentral:lncRNA from 1 species